rnacentral:rRNA from 1 species
AUUGAACGCUGGCGGCAUGCCUUACACAUGCAAGUCGAACGGCAGCACGGGGGCAACCCUGGUGGCGAGUGGCGAACGGGUGAGUAAUGCAUCGGAACGUACCCGGAAGUGGGGGAUAACGUAGCGAGAGUUACGCUAAUACCGCAUAUUCUGUGAGCAGGAAAGCAGGGGAUCGCAAGACCUUGCGCUUUCGGAGCGGCCGAAGUCGGCUUAGCUAGUUCGUGAGGUAAAGGCUUACCAAGGCGACGAUCCGUAGCUGGUCUUAGAGGAUGAUCAGCCACACUGGGACGGAGACACGGCCCAGACUCCUACGGGAGGCAGCAGUGGGGAAUUUUGGACAAUGGGGGAAACCCUGAUCCAGCCAUGCCGCGUGAGUGAAGAAGGCCUUCGGGUUGUAAAGCUCUUUCGGACAGAAAGAAAUCGCCAUCUCUAAUACAGGUGGUGGAUGACGGUACUGUAAGAAGAAGCACCGGCUAACUACGUGCCAGCCGCCGCCGUAA